CCAAACUUUUGGUCUGUACUGUAUAUAUAAUAUAUAUAAACUUUUGGUCUGUACUGUAUGUGUGUGUGUGUGCUUCAAGAUCUCGUUGUUGUACAGCAUGUAUGCGCUUAUGAUUUGUUUGCUGACCAAAUAAACGAGUUGUGACAGUAAUGUACUCGGACAGUGAGUCCAGUUAAACGCAGUGGAUUAUAAAAGCCUUUAGUUCGAUUAUAAGAACAAGCGCUCGUUCGCUGUCCGAAAAUAUAAUCCCGCAGUAAGUCAGCAGGCCUUGAAACGUAGCUGGAGAGCGCAAAGGAGCGGCAAUUAGCGGCGAUAAUGGGCCUGUGUCUGGAGACGAGGCCCCGGAAUGGAGCAUGACUUCACCGUGGAGGAAGCUGAUUCAAUUAAGGGGCCAUUUGUUCUCUGUCUUUCCGGAUAAAACCCUUUACAGCUCACGAGCUGAGAUACACUGAUCAAUGGUUGGACCGCGUUGCUCUCGAGCGUGCUGGCAUAAAGCACGGGAGUUCGUAUUUCCAUUAUCUGUGCACUACGCUAAAAGAACGUGGACACUAUAAUUAAUGUUCAAGGCGUUCAAUAGGGAUUUGUGCGAUUGAAAUAAUAAUGAAUUUCCUAAAUUUUUUCCAUUAAAACCGCUGAAAUUGAGUUUGAGGUCAUGUUAGGACAAGAUAAUUGAGGUAAUUAACACCAGAUGAAAAUAGCCUUGUUGUAUUGACUGUGUUGUGGUGGUGUGGUGUAGAGAGAGAGAAAAAGACAGAAAGAGAGAGGGGCGGGCCGGAACUCGCCCGUGGAGCAGGUGCUGAAUGCUCCUCGAACUCCCCUAAGCACGGACCCAAGGGUUUCCUGCCUCUCGUAAUCAAUUUGAUUGCCUCCUUCUCGGCCACUCCUGUGGCAUGAGGAGGAGCGGCAGCUUUCCAGCAGAACAAAUAAAAGCCAGAGGACUCGCAGCAACCACCACUUUCCUCUGCCCCGAUUCUCUGAGACGCAACAACCGGCCCCUUCCAAGGUCUCUGGACCUUGCCGUCCCUUCGAGCUGAAGAUGGAUCUUCACCUCGAGUCGGAACCUCUGACGCUCCGCUUUCUCCGGACUUUCCGAGACCUUCUGCGAUUCGUUCUGUUCACUUACACAGUGCUAUUUGGUGCCUUGAUCCUCGCUGGAUGGACCACCUACUUUAUAGUUGCCAAAUGAGGAACAAUUUGUUCAAUGCCAUGUGAUUUUGGCUUUUCCGGGUCUGUGUAUACAACAUAAAGGACGUGCAAAUAUCUCACAAAUAUUGACCUCUAUGCGUGUUCUGUUGCUAGGCGGCGUUUAAAUAUCUAUUUAAAACGGUGUAUUUCAUUUGCAUUGAUAUGGUCUGCUGAAGAGUGCAAUCUCAUCAUAUGGAAUAAAUGAAAUAAAAACCUAGAAUAGUUCUGUGCCACUUUAAGGGGGGAAACAUACUGUAUACCGACAUGUAAAGGAUGAAAUUGAGUGUAAAGACCCUUUUUUUUAAGAGCUAUUAGAAAUCUUCUUGAUGUUUUGUGUAUGUUUUGAGCAACUUAGAUGAGUUUGUGGUCUCUAGUGACAGAAUAUAUAAAGCAGAUACUAAUAGGCCAGAUUCUAAUCUAAAAUCUUAUUAGAUACUGUUUUUGUUUUUUGUUUUUUUUCAUGGCGAUCAUAUGAAGGACUUCACUUCAAACACACGACCUUCAAUGGGAUUAAAUACACUGCCUGCCUGGCCACACACUCCUAAUAAUUCACAAGAGCGCCUUUUGCUUGCAUUGUAUAUUGCGUCAUUUUGAAAAACUCAAUGUCACCAAAUUGGUUUGUCCAGAGUUUUAUAAAUUUUUUUCCCGCCAAA